UACGUAGGGCGCAAGCGUUGUCCGGAAUUAUUGGGCGUAAAGAGCUCGUAGGUGGCGUGUCGCGUCUGCCGUGAAAGCCCAUGGCUUAACUGUGGGUCUGCGGUGGAUACGGGCAGGCUGGAGGCUGGUAGGGGCAAGCGGAAUUCCUGGUGUAGCGGUGAAAUGCGCAGAUAUCGAGAGGAACACCUGCGGCGAAGGCGGGUUGCUGGGCUGACACUGACGCUGAGGCGCGAAAGCGUGGGGAGCAAACAGG
rnacentral:rRNA from 1 species